rnacentral:rRNA from 1 species
UACGAACCGUCCAACCGUUAUUCGGAUUUAUUGGGCGUAAAGAGCUCGUAGGCGGUUUGGUAAGUCUGGUGUGAAAUCUCCACGCUCAACGUGGAGGGGCCACCCGAUACUGCCAUGACUGGAGUCCGGUAGAGGAGUGUGGAAUUCCCGGUGUAGCGGUGAAAUGCGCAGAUAUCGGGAGGAACACCCGUAGCGAAGGCGGCACUCUGGGCCGGUACUGACGCUGAGGAGCGAAAGCGUGGGGAGCAAACAGG